rnacentral:rRNA from 1 species
UAGGAUUCCCUUAGUAAUGGCGAAUGAACAGGGAUGAGCUCAGCAUUAAAAUCUGGGCCCCCGGCCUUGAAUUGUAAUCUCGAGAAGUGCAACCAACGGCGGCGCAGGUGUAAGCCUCUUGGAAAAGAGCACCAAUGAGGGUGAGAGUCCCGUUUGUCAUCUGCAGUCCUCUGUGUACGGUGUGCUUUCUAAGAGUCACGUUCCUCGGGCUUGGAGCGCCAAAGGUGGUAAAUUUCAUCUAAAGCUAAAUAUAGGUUUGAGACCGAUAGCAAACAAGUACCAUGAGGGAAAGAUGAAAAGGACUUUGGAAAGAGAGUUAAAAGUGCCUGAAAUCGCUGAAAGGGAAGCGAAUGGAACCAGUGUUUCUUGCAGAGCUUGGCGAGAGUAAUCUGGAUGGUGCUCUGAUUCAGCGCAAGCGUUUCAGGGUUCUUUGAAGGUGCAUUCUUGCUGUUGCUCUGCUUGCUUGUCAACGUCAAUUUGGAGUUGGGGAAAACUCUGGGGUACUGGAAGCCACCUUUCGGGGGGGUGAACGCCCUUGUAGAACUCAUCUCUAGAUUGAAGUGCUUGCGUUUGGUUGCAAUGCCUCACUCUGUGCCAGCUGCCCUGGUAAAUUCAGCAGGUGCGCGGCGCUCAUCAGUGGGUGCGUUCCUUGACGCUACGAUGCUGACAAAAUGGUUUCACUCGACCCGUCUUGAAACACGGACCAAGGAGUCUAACAUAUGUGCAAGUUCCCGGGUGGUUAAACCUGUUGGCGUAAUGAAAGUGACUGCUGGGAUUUUUGCACCAGCAACCGACUGACCAAUUGAGAGAGGUUUGAGUAUGAGCACAUCUGUUAGGACCCGAAAGAUGGUGAACUAUGCCUGAGAAGGGUGAAGUCAGGGGAAACCCUGAUGGAGGCUCAUAGCGAUACUGACGUGCAAAUCGUUCGUCAUACUUGGGUAUAGGGGCGAAAGACUAAUCGAACCAUCUAGUAGCUGGUUCCCUCCGAAGUUUCCCUCAGGAUAGCUGGAGUUGAACAGUUUUAUCAGGUAAAGCGAAUGAUUAGAGGAAUCGGGGACACGUUGUCUUCGACCUAUUCUCAAACUUUAAAUGGGUAAGAUCCAGUGGUUACUUGAGUGAACUUCUGGGAUAAAUGACAACUCUAAGUGGGCCAUUUUUGGUAAGCAGAACUGGCGAUGAGGGAUGAACCUAACGUUGGGUUAAGGUGCUUAACUGCUCGCUCAUCAGAUACCAUAAAGGGUGUUGGUUCAUUUUAACAGCAGGACGGUGGUCAUGGAAGUCGAAAUCCGCUAAGGAGUGUGUAACAACUCACCUGCCGAAUGGACUAGCCCCGAAAAUGGAUGGCGCUCAAGCGGGUGACUGACACCCAACCAUUGUUGCAAUUGUGCUGCAUCAAUGAGUAGGAGGGCAUGGGGGUU